rnacentral:rRNA from 1 species
GACGAACGCUGGCGGCGUGCUUAACACAUGCAAGUCGAACGGAAAGGCCCUGCUUUUGUGGGGUGCUCGAGUGGCGAACGGGUGAGUAACACGCGAGUAACCUGCCCUUGACUUUGGGAUAACUUCAGGAAACUGGGGCUAAUACCGGAUAGGAGCUCCUGCUGCAUGGUGGGGGUUGGAAAGUUUCGGCGGUUGGGGACGGACGGGCGGCCUACCCGCUUGUUGGUCGGGUAGGGGCUUACCCAGGCUUCGAGGGGUAGCCGGCCUGGGAGGGUGACCGGCCGCGUUGGGACUGAGGUACGGCGCAGACUCGUACGGGAGGCAGCAGUGGGGAAUUUUGCGGAGUGGGCGGAAGCGUGAUGCAGAGACGCCGCGUGCGGGAUGACGGCCUUCGGGUUGUAAACCGCUGUCGCCUGUGACGAAGCGGGAGUGACGGUAAUGGGUAAAGAAGCACCGGCUAACUACGUG